GAUGAACGCUGGCGGCGUGCCUAAUACCUGCAAGUCGAGCGAACAGACGAGGAGCUUGCUCCUCUGACGUUAGCGGCGGGCGGGUGAGUAACACGUGGAUAACCUACCUAUAAGACUGGGAUAACUUCGGGAAACCGGAGCUAAUACCGGAUAAUAUAUUGAACCGCAUGGUUCAAUAGUGAAAGACGGUUUUGCUGUCACUUAUAGAUGGAUCCGCGCCGCAUUAGCUAGUUGGUAAGGUAACGGCUUACCAAGGCAACGAUGCGUAGCCGACCUGAGAGGGUGAUCGGCCACACUGGAACUGAGACACGGUCCAGACUCCUACGGGAGGCAGCAGUAGGGAAUCUUCCGCAAUGGGCGAAAGCCUGACGGAGCAACGCCGCGUGAGUGAUGAAGGUCUUCGGAUCGUAAAACUCUGUUAUUAGGGAAGAACAAAUGUGUAAGUAACUAUGCACGUCUUGACGGUACCUAAUCAGAAAGCCACGGCUAACUACGUG
rnacentral:rRNA from 1 species